UUCCACAUUUCCCUUUCCCUCCUAAAGUCUUUCCACCAUUUCCUCCUAAAAUCUUUCCACCAUUUCCUCCAAAGAUUUUCCAUAAGCACCCUCUCUUCCCUCCCCUACCUAUAUAUGAGAAACCACUUCCUCCACCCGUGCCCGUAUAUGAGAAACCUCUUCCUCCACCCGUGCCCGUAUAUGUGAAACCUCUUCCUCCACCCGUACCGGUAUAUGAGAAGCCUCUUCCUCCACCAGUGCCAAUAUACCAUAAACCACUUCCUCCACCUGUGCCAGUAUACCAUAAACCUCUUCCCCCACCAGUGCCAGUGUAUCAUAAGCCUCUUCCUCCACCUGUGCCAGUGUAUCAUAAACCUCUUCCUCCACCUGUGCCAGUAUAUCACAAACCUCUUCCUCCGCCAGUGCCAGUGUAUCACAAACCUCUUCCUCCACCAGUGCCAGUGUAUCAUAAACCACUUCCUCCACCAGUGCCAGUAUAUCACAAACCUCUUCCUCCACCAGUGCCAAUAUAUCAUAAACCUCUUCCUCCACCAGUACCAAUAUACCAUAAACCUCUUCCUCCACCAGUACCAAUAUACCAUAAACCACUUCCUCCACCAGUGCCAAUAUACCACAAACCUCUUCCUCCACCGGUGCCAAUAUACCACAAACCUCUUCCUCCACCAGUGCCAGUAUAUCAUAAACCUCUUCCUCCACCUGUGCCAGUAUAUCACAACCCUCUUCCUCCACCAGUGCCAAUAUACCAUAAACCACUUCCUCCACCAGUGCCAGUAUAUCACAAACCUCUUCCUCCACCUGUGCCAGUAUAUCACAACCCUCUUCCUCCGCCAGUGCCAGUUUACCAUAAACCACUUCCUCCACCAGUACCAAUAUAUGAGAAGCCUCUUCCUCCACCUGUGCCGAUAUAUCAUAAACCACUUCUUCCACCGGUGCCGGUAUAUGUAAAGCCUCUUCCUCCUCCAAUUCCCAUAUUCAAGAAGCCAUUUCCCCCUUCCAUUCCUAUUUACAAGCCCCUUCCUCCUUCUUUUCCAAUUUACAAACCACCAAACUAUAAGCAUCCACUUCUACCUCCAAAGUUUAAGCAUCCACUUCUACCUCCAAAGUUUAAGCAUCCACUUAUACCUCCAAAGUUUAAGCAUCCACUUAUACCACAUAUUCCAAUUUACAAGCCACCAUUUUUCAAACCUUUUCCUCCUUUCCCAAAGUUUCCUCCAUUCAAAAAGCUGCCAUUUCCACC
rnacentral:lncRNA from 1 species